rnacentral:snRNA from 1 species
AUUAUUUCUUGGCUCUUCGACUAAGCUCAAGUGAUAUAUCUGUUCUAAUUGGUUUAAUAUCUGAUACAUCUUCUAUUUGAGGACAAGAUAGUAAAUGGAUUUCUGGAGCAGAGAAAUGGAAUAGGUUCUCAUUCCAUCCACUCCAGCAUCAACCUAGUAUUGCAGCACCCCUC